ACAACUGCAGCGAGAGAAGAGGCUGGCAGCAUGGGUGGCAGGANGCUUGGCAGCCUCACAGGAUGCCUGCAAAUACCUUUCACUUAUGCAGUUUGGCAGUGCAGUGGUGCAUGGAGACAGCGUCUUGGGCCUGGCACCCACAGCCACUUAGGAAGUUGGAGUCCUGGAGAGGAGAACACAGAACGUGGACAACUAGCUGUCAAAUUGCAGUAAAAGUUGGUUCAGGAAAAGUGGAAGCUACCCAGAUGUCUACCAAUUGAGAUGAACCAUCCAAUCUCCUGCCUCGAGUAUUGAAGCCUGGCUACUGUGACUGUGGGGAAGGGAUUAAUGGUCUCAGCAUUCAGUCACAUUUCAAAGGCCAGAUCUUUCCCAGGGCUUAAGCUGUUCCUUGGAUACUUUUGCUGAUGGUUUACACAUCUUCUUCCCACAUUAUAUUGUAACUUUCUU
rnacentral:antisense_RNA from 1 species